AAAAAGCUUAAGGUGAGAGAUAGUGACUUAAAAUUUUGCCAUAACAACAUACUAAAGAAAGGAGUAGUUGAUGAUAGAAUAAUACCUCCGCAAGAAUGAGAUAGACUAUAAAGUCGCAUUUUAACAUGAGGCUUAAAUAAAGAUUGUACAAUAAUCUGUAGCGGUACUGAAUAAAAUGCUGCAAAUCCUAUUAAUAUAAUAGGACAGAACAUGUUAAAUAUUUUUUGAUAUAAUAUUAUUUGCAUUCCUAAAGCAAC
rnacentral:sRNA from 1 species